AAAAAAAAAAUGUAAGUAUGUAUGCAAAUAAAACGUGUGUCUUGGAUAUAGACCCCAUUGGUCCCAUGGGUAACUUUUGCCUGAGAAGGAUUCCUGGUUCUUCUGAUAGAUUUCUGUGUCCCUCUGGACUUGCAGGGGCAACAAUACAGUUCCCCCAUCCUUACAACUAUGACUAAUGACUGAUAUUUCUUGGUUUUAGGCCCCUGGCUGCCCCGACUACAGCAUCCUCUCCUUCAUGGGCGCGUUCCAUGGGAGGACCAUGGGUUGCUUAGCGACCACGCACUCUAAAGCCAUUCACAAGAUCGACAUCCCUUCCUUUGACUGGCCCAUCGCACCGUUCCCACGGCUGAAAUACCCUCUGGAAGAGUUUGUGAAAGAGAACCAACAGGAGGAGGCCCGCUGUCUGGAAGAGGUAAUGCUCAUACCCUGCGGAUCCUCCCCAACCACCAGUCCUGUUGCUCUUGCCGCCCCAAGACUUGGGGAGAAGAGAAACAGAUGAAGGGUUUAUCUGGGGAUCUGUGCAGUGCUCCCCCAGAGGGAAGCAGGGACACAGAGGCCUUGCGUCCCAAAUGUUCUAUGUUGGGAGAGUUCGUGAGACACACUGUUUCUGUCACAGCAUCCAUCACCCAACUCUGAUACCAAUUUCUGUAUCACUUAAGUUUCUUGGAAGACAAGAGUCAAUGACUCUAAAAUAAGAGAAAACAGAUCAGUUGAAAGAAUAUGGGGCUGGGCACGGUGGCUCCGCCUGUAAUCCCAGCACUUUGGGAGGCUGAGACGGGAGGAUCACCUGAGGCCAGGAGUUCGAGACCAGCCUGGCCAACAUGGUGAAACCCCAUCUCUACUAAAAAUUAGCUGGGUGUGGUGGCACAUGCCUGUAAUCCCAGCUACUAGGGAGGCUGAGGCACAAGAAUCCCUUGGACCCGGGAGGCAGAGGUUGCAAUGAGCCAAGAUUGCACCACUGCACUCCAGCCUGGGUAACGGAGUGAGACUCUGUCC
rnacentral:lncRNA from 1 species